rnacentral:misc_RNA from 1 species
GAUGAAGAACGUAGCGAAAUGCGAUACGUAAUGUGAAUUGCAGAAUUCAGUGAAUCAUCGAAUCUUUGAACGCAUAUUACGCUCUCUGGUAUUCCGGAGAGCAUGCUUGUUUGAGUAUCAGUAAACACCUCAACUUCCAUAUCUUUUUUGAAAUGGGAGUUGGACUUGAGUGAUCCCAACGCUUUUCCUCACCGAAAAGUGGCGGGUUACUUGAAAUGCAGGUGCAGCUGGACUUUUCUCUGAGCUAUAAGCAUAUCUAUUUAGUCUGCCUAAAAAACAGAUUAUUACCUUUGCUGCAGCUAACAUAAAGGAGAUUAGUUCUUGUGCUGACUGAUGCAGGAUUCACAAAGACGGCUUCGGCCGAUUUUGUAAACUCGAUCUCAAAUCAAGUAAGACUACCCGCUGAACUUAAGCAUAUCAAUAAGCGGAGGA